rnacentral:rRNA from 1 species
AACGAACGCUGGCGGCAUGCCUAACACAUGCAAGUCGAACGAAGGCUUCGGCCUUAGUGGCGCACGGGUGCGUAACGCGUGGGAAUCUGCCCCUCGGUUCGGAAUAACAGUUAGAAAUGACUGCUAAUACCGGAUGAUGACUUCGGUCCAAAGAUUUAUCGCCGAGGGAUGAGCCCGCGUAGGAUUAGGUAGUUGGUGGGGUAAAGGCCUACCAAGCCGACGAUCCUUAGCUGGUCUGAGAGGAUGAUCAGCCACACUGGGACUGAGACACGGCCCAGACUCCUACGGGAGGCAGCAGUGGGGAAUAUUGGACAAUGGGCGAAAGCCUGAUCCAGCAAUGCCGCGUGAGUGAUGAAGGCCUUAGGGUUGUAAAGCUCUUUUACCAGGGAUGAUAAUGACAGUACCUGGAGAAUAAGCUCCGGCUAACUCCGUG